CCCAAACAACUCUCUGAAUCUGGUCCUGAUGGCCAGCUGGCAGCUUGAGCAUUCUUAACGUGUAGUCUCAGCGGUAACACCCUUGAAGAAUAGAGUGUGAGGGAGUCACUCUUGAUUCCUUCUGACCGUAAUUGGCAAAUGCCGUUUAUACUCACAGCCCAUUGGCUAGAACUGAUCACAUAUCCCCAAUGUAACUGCAAUGCAAGGGCAUCUAUGUAGGUGAGCCACGGAACAUACACAUGUCUUACUUGAUUAAAAACUGGAGAGAGUGAAGGAAAAAAAGUGUGGGAUUCCUGGAAUAACCACUGCCAAGAUCUGAGGAUGGAUCAACAAAAGCAAAUGGCUGUUUUGCCCUUAUGGCUGCCUGAAAACACACACAUAUUUCAGAGAUGGCUGCAUAUUUCGUGGUAGCUUUGUAUUCCAAGGGCUGAGUUCUGCAAACAAACUGAGCAAAGUACAGCAUGUGCCCCUUCAGGUGGUUUUUGGAGCUCAUCAGGCCUGUGAAGUGCCUCGCUCCCACUUUGCUUUCUGCUAUGAUUGGAAACUUCCUGCGCACCCCGUUCCCAGAAGCAGAAGCUGCUAUGCUUCCUGUACAGCUUGAAGAACUGAACCGGCUCAAGGAAAUGUGGACAAAUGACAUGAAAGAUGAAUGAUAAGAAAUUUGAGCUGAGAAGGGAACAGAUUGAGAUAAAACAGAAAUUAAAAAGAAAUUAGAUAAGGAAAGAAAUUCAGGUAAGUAAACAUGCUCUAAUGGAAUUUAAAAAUUCAUUCAAAGCAGAAUUAUUCUAUGAAAAUCAAAUCAGGAACGUGGAAGAUAUAUUUGACAAGUGCUUCCUGAAUGCAAAGGAAUGAGACUGGAAUAUGGCUUUAUUUUUGAACUUGGCUGCUAGAAAAAUAUUUGUUCAAAUGUGUUGACUUUAAAAAUACAUUGUAUUGAUUUUCUUCUCAUUACAAAUGAGUACAUGUUCAUGGUUCACAUAUGAAGAAGAAAGUUUUUCACUUUCUACUAUCAUAUUUCACAUAUCCAUUGAGUCUUUUUCCUAUGUAUGUAACUAGUUUGACUACAGGGUCUUUGCACAGCAUAUAUACAUGUAUUUGUAUACAUGCACACACACAAACCUACAUACAUAAACGUGUUUAUGUGUUUCUUAUUUUAUAAAAUUGAAUGAUAACUCACAGAAAGUAAAGCCAAGAUGAAUAAUUUCCAUAGCAGUAGAGAAAAAUAAAACCUGGCUCUUGUGGCA
rnacentral:lncRNA from 13 species